AUCCAGCUGAAGUGUUUCAAAUAGGACGAAACGCACGUCCUGGAU
rnacentral:hammerhead_ribozyme from 1 species